AGAGUUUGAUCAUGGCUCAGAGCGAACGCUGGCGGCAGGCUUAACACAUGCAAGUCGAGCGGGCGUAGCAAUACGUCAGCGGCAGACGGGUGAGUAACGCGUGGGAACGUACCUUUUGGUUCGGAACAACACAGGGAAAACUUGUGCUAAUACCGGAUAAGCCCUUACGGGGAAAAGAUUUAUCGCCGAAAGAUCGGCCCGCGUCUGAUUAGCUAGUUGGUGAGGUAAUGGCUCACCAAGGCGACGAUCAGUAGCUGGUCUGAGAGGAUGAUCAGCCACAUUGGGACUGAGACACGGCCCAAACUCCUACGGGAGGCAGCAGUGGGGAAUAUUGGACAAUGGGCGCAAGCCUGAUCCAGCCAUGCCGCGUGGGUGAUGAAGGCCCUAGGGUUGUAAAGCCCUUUCGGCGGGGAAGAUAAUGACGGUACCCGCAGAAGAAAGCCCCGGCUAACUUCGUGCCAGCAGCCGCGGUAAUACGAAGGGGGCUAGCGUUGCUCGGAAUCACUGGGCGUAAAGCGCACGUAGGCGGAUUGCUAAGUCAGGGGUGAAAUCCUGGAGCUCAACUCCAGAACUGCCUUUGAUACUGGCGAUCUCGAGUCCGGGAGAGGUGAGUGGAACUGCGAGUGUAGAGGUGAAAUUCGUAGAUAUUCGCAAGAACACCAGUGGCGAAGGCGGCUCACUGGCCCGGUACUGACGCUGAGGUGCGAAAGCGUGGGGAGCAAACAGGAUUAGAUACCCCCGUAGUCC
rnacentral:rRNA from 1 species